UACGUAGGGGGCAAGCGUUGUCCGGAGUUACUGGGCGUAAAGCGCACGCAGGCGGUCUUUUAAGUUUGGAGUGACAGUUGGUGGCUUAACUGCCAAAGUGCUUCGAAAACUGAAAGACUUGAGGGCUUCAGAGGGACACGGAAUUCCGGGUGGAGUGGUGAAAUGCGUAGAGAUGUGGAGGAACACCGAUGGCGAAGGCAGCCUCCUGGGCCAGCACUGACGCUCAUGCACGAAAGCGUGGGGAGCAAACAGG
rnacentral:rRNA from 1 species